CUUUGAUCAUGGCUCAGGACGAACGCUGGCGGCGUGCCUCACACAUGCAAGUCGAACGGAACUUCUUUAAAGGAUUUCUUCGGAAUGAAUUUGAUUAAGUUUAGUGGCGGACGGGUGAGUAACGCGUGAGUAACCUGCCUCUAAGAGGGGAAUAACAUUCUGAAAAGAAUGCUAAUACCGCAUAAUAUAUAUUUAUCGCAUGGUAGAUAUAUCAAAGAUUUAUCGCUUAGAGAUGGACUCGCGUCCGAUUAGUUAGUUGGUGAGGUAACGGCUCACCAAGACCGCGAUCGGUAGCCGGACUGAGAGGUUGAACGGCCACAUUGGGACUGAGACACGGCCCAGACUCCUACGGGAGGCAGCAGUGGGGGAUAUUGCGCAAUGGGGGAAACCCUGACGCAGCAACGCCGCGUGAAGGAUGAAGGUCUUCGGAUUGUAAACUUCUUUUAUUAAGGACGAAGAAAGUGACGGUACUUAAUGAAUAAGCUCCGGCUAACUACGUGCCAGCAGCCGCGGUAAUACGUAGGGAGCAAGCGUUGUCCGGAUUUACUGGGUGUAAAGGGUGCGUAGGCGGCUUUGCAAGUCAGAUGUGAAAUCUAUGGGCUCAACCCAUAGCCUGCAUUUGAAACUGCAGAGCUUGAGUGAAGUAGAGGCAGGCGGAAUUCCCCGUGUAGCGGUGAAAUGCGUAGAGAUGUGGAGGAACACCAGUGGCGAAGGCGGCCUGCUGGGCUUUAACUGACGCUGAGGCACGAAAGCGUGGGUAGCAAACAGGAUUAGAUACCCUGGUAGUCCACGCUGUAAACGAUGAUUACUAGGUGUGGGGGGUCUGACCCCUUCCGUGCCGGAGUUAACACAAUAAGUAAUCCACCUGGGGAGUACGGCCGCAAG
rnacentral:rRNA from 1 species